rnacentral:rRNA from 1 species
GUCUACAGCCAUACCACCCUGAAUGUGCUUGAUACUGUCUGAUAUCUGGGAGCUAAGCAGGGUUGGGCCUGGAUAGUAUUUGACAGGAAAACUUACUCCUUCCAUCUCACUGUAUGGU